AACGAACGCUGGCGGCAUGCCUAACACAUGCAAGUCGAACGAGAUCUUCGGGUCUAGUGGCGCACGGGUGCGUAACGCGUGGGAAUCUGCCCUUUGGUUCGGAAUAACAGUUGGAAACGACUGCUAAUACCGGAUGAUGACGAAAGCCCAAAGAUUUAUCGCCAGAGGAUGAGCCCGCGUAGGAUUAGCUAGUUGGUGUGGUAAAGGCGCACCAAGGCGACGAUCCUUAGCUGGUCUGAGAGGAUGAUCAGCCACACUGGGACUGAGACACGGCCCAGACUGCUACGAGAGGGAGCAGUGGGGAAUAUUGGACAAUGGGCGAAAGCCUGAUCCAGCAAUGCCGCGUGAGUGAUGAAGGCCGUAGGGUUGUAAAGCUCUUUUACCCGGGAUGAUAAUGACAGUACCGGGAGAAUAAGCUCCGGCUAACUCCGUGCCAGCCGCCGCAGUAA
rnacentral:rRNA from 1 species